AUUGAACGCUGGCGGCAGGCCUAACACAUGCAAGUCGAACGAGUGGCGGACGGGUGAGUAAUGUCUGGGAAACUGCCUGAUGGAGGGGGAUAACUACUGGAAACGGUAGCUAAUACCGCAUACCAUCGGAUGUGCCCAGAUGGGAUUAGCUUGUUGGUGGGGUAACGGCUCAACAAGGCGACGAUCCCUAGCUGGUCUGAGAGGAUGACGGGCCACACGGGAACUGGGACACGGGCAAGACUCCUAGGGGAGGCAGCGGUGGGGAAUAUUGGACAAUGGGGGCAAGCCUGAUGCAGCCAUGCCGCGUGUAGGAAGAAGGCCUUCGGGUUGUAAAGUACUUUCAUCGGGGAGGCGUUACCAACAUAAUAAGCACCGGCUAACUUCGUGACAGCCGCCGCGGUAAUAC
rnacentral:rRNA from 1 species